GGAAAAGGGACGCUCACGAUGCGCACACAAGUCGAGUACUUCAAGAAGGCGGCGGACAACAUGAUUUGCUACCCAAGCAAGGAGGAGCACCUGGCGCGGUCCCUCUUCCUCCUCAGCGGUGGCGGCAACGACUUCUCGGCCUUCGACCCCUCCACGGCCAGCCCCCAGGCCUAUGUCGUCAAGAUGGUCACCACCUACAUCGAGCACAUCCAGGCGCUCUACAACAUGGGAGCGCGAAUGGUGGGGAUCCUCGAUGUGCCGCCGAUCGGGUGCACGCCGGGGCAGAGGGUCGGCAUGCCCAACGGCGAGUGCAACGAGCAGGCCAACUCCCUGGCGCAAGCAUUCAAUGGCCUCCUAAGGGCUAAGCUCGCCGAGGCUUCCGCGACUACCAUGAAGGAGCUCAAGUACUCCAUCGCCGCCAACUACAACAUCCUCAACGACAUGAUGGACAACUCGCUCGUAGCCGGGCUGAGGCACGUGAAGACGGCGUGCUGCGGGUCCGGGAAGCUCAACGCGGAGGUAAUGUGCAGCCACCAGGGCACGACGGCGUGCCCCGCCGCGGAGCACGAUGACUACAUGUUCUGGGACAUGCUCCACCCCACUCACGCCACCAUCCAGCGCGGUGUCGUCGCCCUCUUCUACGGCAACGGCCCCAAGUACGGCGAGCCCGUCAACUUCGGCACGCUGGUCACGGGCCAGAACGUAUCUCCCGCGAUCAAGAUGGUGGUCGACAGCCAGUAA
rnacentral:rRNA from 1 species